ACGAACGCUGGCGGCGUGCCUAAUACCUGCAAGUCGAACGCUUCUUUCCUCCCGAGUGCUUGCACUCAAUUGGAAAGAGGAGUGGCGGACGGGUGAGUAACACGUGGGUAACCUACCCAUCAGAGGGGGAUAACACUUGGAAACAGGUGCUAAUACCGCAUAACAGUUUAUGCCGCAUGGCAUAAGAGUGAAAGGCGCUUUCGGGUGUCGCUGAUGGAUGGACCCGCGGUGCAUUAGCUAGUUGGUGAGGUAACGGCUCACCAAGGCCACGAUGCAUAGCCGACCUGAGAGGGUGAUCGGCCACACUGGGACUGAGACACGGCCCAGACUCCUACGGGAGGCAGCAGUAGGGAAUCUUCGGCAAUGGACGAAAGUCUGACCGAGCAACGCCGCGUGAGUGAAGAAGGUUUUCGGAUCGUAAAACUCUGUUGUUAGAGAAGAACAAGGACGUUAGUAACUGAACGUCCCCUGACGGUAUCUAACCAGAAAGGCACGGCUAACUACGUG
rnacentral:rRNA from 1 species